GUCGAGCGAACAGACGAGGAGCUUGCUCCUCUGACGUUAGCGGCGGACGGGUGAGUAACACGUGGAUAACCUACCUAUAAGACUGGGAUAACUUCGGGAAACCGGAGCUAAUACCGGAUAAUAUAUCGAACCGCAUGGUUCAAUAGUGAAAGACGGUUUUGCUGUCACUUAUAGAUGGAUCCGCGCCGCAUUAGCUAGUUGGUAAGGUAACGGCUUACCAAGGCAACGAUGCGUAGCCGACCUGAGAGGGUGAUCGGCCACACUGGAACUGAGACACGGUCCAGACUCCUACGGGAGGCAGCAGUAGGGAAUCUUCCGCAAUGGGCGAAAGCCUGACGGAGCAACGCCGCGUGAGUGAUGAAGGUCUUCGGAUCGUAAAACUCUGUUAUUAGGGAAGAACAAAUGUGUAAGUAACUAUGCACGUCUUGACGGUACCUAAUCAGAAAGCCACGGCUAACUACGUGCCAGCGGCCGCGGUAAUACGUAGGUGGCAAGCGUUAUCCGGAAUUAUUGGGCGUAAAGCGCGCGUAGGCGGUUUUUUAAGUCUGAUGUGAAAGCCCACGGCUCAACCGUGGAGGGUCAUUGGAAACUGGAAAACUUGAGUGCAGAAGAGGAAAGUGGAAUUCCAUGUGUAGCGGUGAAAUGCGCAGAGAUAUGGAGGAACACCAGUGGCGAAGGCGACUUUCUGGUCUGUAACUGACGCUGAUGUGCGAAA
rnacentral:rRNA from 1 species